rnacentral:rRNA from 1 species
GGGCCCGCACAAGCGGUGGAGUAUGUGGUUUAAUUCGAUGCAACGCGAAGAACCUUACCAGGGUUUGACAUCCUGCGAAUCUCUUGGAAACGAGAGAGUGCCUUCGGGAACGCAGUGACAGGUGGUGCAUGGCUGUCGUCAGCUCGUGUCGUGAGAUGUUGGGUUAAGUCCCGCAACGAGCGCAACCCACGUCGUUAGUUGCCAGCAUUUAGUUGGGCACUCUAGCGAGACCGCCGGUGAUAAACCGGAGGAAGGUGUGGAUGACGUCAAGUCAUCAUGGCCCUUAUGUGUUGGGCUACACACGUGCUACAAUGGUACUUACAAUGGGAAGCAAAGAUGCAAGUCCUAGCCAAUCCCUAAAAUGUACCUCAGUUCGGAUUGUACUCUGUAACUCGAGUGCAUGAAGCUGGAAUUGCUAG